rnacentral:tRNA from 1 species
UGCAUCGGCCAGGAAUCGAACCCGGGCUGCCCGCGUGGCAGGCGAGCAUUCUACCACUGAACCACCGAUGC